UUGAGAGUUUGAUCCUGGCUCAGAACGAACGCUGGCGGCAGGCCUAACACAUGCAAGUCGGACGAGAAGGUACCUUCGGGUACUGGAGAGUGGCGCACGGGUGAGUAACGCGUGGGGACCUACCUCUUAGUGGGGGAUAACGGUUGGAAACGACCGCUAAUACCGCAUACGCCCUUCGGGGGAAAGAUUUAUCGCUAAGAGAUGGACCCGCGUUGGAUUAGAUAGUUGGUGAGGUAACGGCUCACCAAGUCAGCGAUCCAUAGCUGGUUUGAGAGGAUGAUCAGCCACACUGGGACUGAGACACGGCCCAGACUCCUACGGGAGGCAGCAGUGGGGAAUAUUGCACAAUGGGGGAAACCCUGAUGCAGCCAUGCCGCGUGUGUGAAGAAGGCCUUCGGGUUGUAAAGCACUUUCAGUUGUGAGGAAAAGUUAGUAGUUAAUACCUGCUAGCCGUGACGUUAACAACAGAAGAAGCACCGGCUAACUCCGUGCCAGCAGCCGCGGUAAUACGGAGGGUGCGAGCGUUAAUCGGAAUUACUGGGCGUAAAGCGCACGCAGGCGGUUUGUUAAGCUAGAUGUGAAAGCCCCGGGCUCAACCUGGGAUGGUCAUUUAGAACUGGCAGACUAGAGUCUUGGAGAGGGGAGUGGAAUUCCAGGUGUAGCGGUGAAAUGCGUAGAUAUCUGGAGGAACAUCAGUGGCGAAGGCGACUCCCUGGCCAAAGACUGACGCUCAUGUGCGAAAGUGUGGGUAGCGAACAGGAUUAGAUACCCUGGUAGUCCACACCGUAAACGCUGUCUACUAGCUGUGUGUGCCUUUAAGGCGUGCGUAGCGAAGCUAACGCGCUAAGUAGACCGCCUGGGGAGUACGGCCGCAAGGUUAAAACUCAAAUGAAUUGACGGGGGCCCGCACAAGCGGUGGAGCAUGUGGUUUAAUUCGAUGAUACGCGAGGAACCUUACCAGGGCUUAAAUGCAGUCUGACGUAUCUGGAAACAGAUAUUUCUUCGGACAGAUUGCAAGGUGCUGCAUGGUUGUCGUCAGCUCGUGCCGUGAGGUGUCAGGUUAAGUCCUAUAACGAGCGCAACCCCUGUGGUUAGUUGCCAGCGAGUAAUGUCGGGAACUCUAGCCAGACUGCCGGUGCAAACCGUGAGGAAGGUGGGGAUGACGUCAAAUCAUCACGGCCCUUACGUCCUGGGCCACACACGUGCUACAAUGGUAGGGACAGAGAGCAGCCACUUCGCGAGAAGGAGCGAAUCUAUAAACCCUAUCACAGUUCGGAUCGUAGUCUGCAACUCGACUACGUGAAGCUGGAAUCGCUAGUAAUCGCAUAUCAGCCAUGAUGCGGUGAAUACGUUCCCGGGCCUUGUACACACCGCCCGUCACACCAUGGGAGUUGGUUCUACCCGACGACGCUGCGCUAACCUUCGGGGGGCAGGCGGCCACGGUAGGAUCAGCGACUGGGGUGAAGUCGGAACAAGGUAGCCGUAGGGGAACCUGCGGCUGGAUCACC
rnacentral:rRNA from 1 species